rnacentral:rRNA from 1 species
GACGUAGGGUGCAAGCGUUGUCCGGAAUUAUUGGGCGUAAAGAGUUCGUAGGCGGUUCGCCAAGUCUGAUGUUAAAGCCCGAGGCUCAACCUCGGCACGGCAUCGGAAACUGGCGGGCUAGAGUAUGGUAGAGGCAAGGGGAAUUCCCGGUGUAGCGGUGAAAUGCGUAGAGAUCGGGAGGAACACCAGUGGCGAAGGCGGCCUUCUGGACCAAUACUGACGCUCAUGCACGAAAGCGUGGGGAGCAAACAGG